rnacentral:rRNA from 1 species
ACGAGUGGCGGACGGGUGAGUAACACGUGGGUAACCUGCCCUUAUGUGGGGGAUAACAUUUGGAAACAGAUGCUAAUACCGCAUAGAUCCAAGAACCGCAGGGUUCUUGGCUGAAAGAUGGCGUAUGCUAUCGCUUUUGGAUGGACCCGCGGCGUAUUACCUAGUUGGUGAGGUAAUGGCUCACCAAGGCGAUGAUACGUAGCCGAACUGAGAGGUUGAUCGGCCACAUUGGGACUGAUACACGGCCCAAACUCCUACGGGAGGGGCAGUAGGGAAUCUUCCACAAUGGACGCAAGUCUGAUGGAGCAACGCCACGUGAGUGAAGAAGGCUUUCGGGUCGUAGAACUCUGUUGUUGGAAAAGAAUGGUCGGCAGAGUAACUGUUGUCGGCGUGACGGUAUCCAACCAGAAAGCCACGGCUAACUACGUGCCAGCAGCCGCGGUAAUACGUAGGUGGCAAGCGUUAUCCGGAUUUAUUGGGCGUAAAGCGAGCGCAGGCGGUUUUUUAAGUCUGAUGUGAAAGCCUUCGGCUUAACCGGAGAAGUGCAUCGGAAACUGGAUAACUUGAGUGCAGAAGAGGGUAGUGGAACUCCAUGUGUAGCGGUGGAAUGCGUAGAUAUAUGGAAGAACACCAGUGGCGAAGGCGGCUACCUGGUCUGCAACUGACGCUGAGACUCGAAAGCAUGGGUAGCGAACAGGAUUAGAUACCCUGGUAGUCCAUGCCGUAAACGAUGAGUGCUAGGUGUUGGAGGGUUUCCGCCCUUCAGUGCCGGAGCUAACGCAUUAAGCACUCCGCCUGGGGAGUACGACCGCAAGGUUGAAACUCAAAGGAAUUGACGGGCGCCCGCACAAGCACAGGAGCAUGUGGUUUAAUUGGACACAACGCGAAGAACCUUACCAGGUCUUGACAUCUUUCGAUCACGAGAGACAUCAGGUAUCCCCCCCGGGGGCAAAAAAACAGUAAAGGCAAGGUUGUGAUCAGCUCGUGUCGUGAGAUGUUGGGUUAAGUCCCGCAACGAGCGCAACCCCUAUGACUAGUUGCCAGCACAUAGUUGGGCACUCUAGUAAAGCUGCCGGUGACAAACCGGAGGAAGGUGGGGAUGACGUCAAAUCAUCAUGCCCCUUAUGACCUGGGCUACACACCCGCUACAAUGGACGGCACAACGAGUUGCGAGACCGCGAGGUCAAGCUAAUCUCUUAAAGCCAUUCUCACUUCGGACUGUAGGCGGCAACUCGCCCACACGAAGUUGGAAUCGCUAGUAAUCGCGGAUCAGCACGCCGCGGAGAAUACGUUCCCGGGCCUUGUACACACCGCCCGUCACACCAUGAGAGUUUGUAACACCCGAAGCCGGUGGCGUAACCCUUUUAGGGAGCGAGCCGUUUAAGGUGGGACAAAUGAGUAGG